GAGAAUCUGCCUAGAGGUCGGGGACAACCAUUGGAAACGAUGGCUAAUACCGGAUAUGCCUUACGGGGUGAAAGAUUAAUUGCCUUUAGAAGAGCUCGCGUCUGAUUAGCUAGUUGGUGAGGUAAGAGCUCACCAAGGCAGCGAUCAGUAGCUGGUCUGAGAGGAUGACCAGCCACACUGGGACUGAGACACGGCCCAGACUCCUACGGGAGGCAGCAGUGGGGAAUUUUCCGCAAUGGGCGAAAGCCUGACGGAGCAAGACCGCGUGAGGGAGGAAGGCUCUUGGGUUGUAAACCUCUUUUGUCAGGGAAGAACAAAAUGACGGUACCUGACGAAUCAGCAUCGGCUAACUCCGUGCCAGCAGCCGCGGUAAUACGGAGGAUGCAAGCGUUAUCCGGAAUUAUUGGGCGUAAAGCGUCCGCAGGUGGCUGAUCAAGUCUGCGGUCAAAGACCGGGGCUUAACCCUGGAAAGGCCGUGGAAACUGAUAAAGCUAGAGUACCGUAGGGGUAGAGGGAAUUCCCGGUGUAGCGGUGAAAUGCGUAGAGAUCGGGAAGAACAUCGGUGGCGAAAGCGCUCUACUGGACGGUGACUGACACUCAGGGACGAAAGCUAGGGGAGCGAAUGGGAUUAGAUACCCCAGUAGUCCUAGCCGUA
rnacentral:rRNA from 1 species